rnacentral:ncRNA from 2 species
CACGUCGGCUAUUGUCGGGCUGCGCCUGGCGACAGGAAUCUGGUGAGAAUCCAGAGCGGUCGCGCCACUGUGAGCCCACCCGACUGACGGGUGAGUGAGUCAGAUACUGAGCCAGGCGCAUGUCAUCCG